rnacentral:rRNA from 1 species
GACCUCAAAUCAGGUAGGGCUACCCGCUGAACUUAAGCAUAUCAAUAAGCGGAGGAAAAGAAACUAACAAGGAUUCCCCUAGUAGCGGCGAGCGAACCGGGACGAGCUCAAAUUUGAAAUCUGGCGCCCUCCGGGCGUCCGAGUUGUAAUCUACAGAAGCGUCUUCCGCGCCGGACCGUGUCCAAGUCCCUUGGAACAGGGUAUCAAAGAGGGUGACAAUCCCGUGCUUGACACGACGACCGGUGCUCUGUGAUGCGCUCUCCACGAGUCGAGUUGUUUGGGAAUGCAGCUCAAAACGGGUGGUAAAUUCCAUCUAAAGCUAAAUAUUGGCAAGAGACCGAUAGCGAACAAGUACCGUGAGGGAAAGAUGAAAAGCACUUU